AAAUUGAAGAACCCUCAGCUGUCUCUGGACGCCAGGCUCGGCUGCGUUGACCAAAAUCUGUGGAAGAGAAGGUGCAAGGUGUCACCUCCUCUUGCACUUUCUGAUUUUGUCUGAAACUGGAAUUGAAGUUGCCAAGAUUCCAUGAAAGGGAAAUGGACAAGGAUUUCUGGCCCAACUAAAAGCAGGAAAGACCAGAAAUCAUGCAAUGAAGUCUGUUUUCAUAAGAUUCCCAAGCCAUUUGUACAGACAUGAGAUGGCUUCACCCUAAGAAGUUCAAGAAGAUAGACUAUUUCUAAGGGCAGAAGUCAUAGUGGACCACCAAAAACUGAGACAGAAGCUAGCAACUGAUGAAGAAAUGAAGACAAACAGCAACCACUCCAUCCAGAUAGGCAGUAGAGGUAGAAUCCAAACUAUAGAAAGAACAGGACCAAAGUCUUCUAAUCCAUGAAAGAGUGCUGGAGGAUUAUGCAAAAUAAGAAUAAACAGAGGAAAAUACUGGACAUAGUGAAGAAAUAUUAUGACUUAAGAAAAAUCCAAGAAGUAGACUCAAAGAAGAAAGUAAUCCACAAUAAUAAGCAGAGUCUCAGGGGAAAAAAUUAAAAUCUUGUCUAUGAGGACUACAAGAGUAACUGGAA